rnacentral:lncRNA from 1 species
UUCUACUUCGGUUAAGGCACGGAGGGCAACAAACACUUGUUAUCAUUUGUUCCUCUGUUUUGAAUUCUGAUUUAUAUUUAACUUCAGUUAUUAUCCAAUUUUAUAUUGAUAGUUAUCUGUAUUGUUAAGGUCUGUCGAUAUUCUAUUUAUUUUAUUUUUAAUACCAGCGACGCUCCUCUGUCUUAGUGAAAAAAAAACGUAAAAGGCGGAC